rnacentral:rRNA from 1 species
UGGAAGUAAAAGUCGUAACAAGGUCUCCGUUGGUGAACCAGCGGAGGGAUCAUUACUGAGUUUACGCUCUACAACCCUUUGUGAACAUACCUAUAACUGUUGCUUCGGCGGGUAGGGUCUCCGUGACCCUCCCGGCCUCCCGCCCCCGGGCGGGUCGGCGCCCGCCGGAGGAUAACCAAACUCUGAUUUAACGACGUUUCUUCUGAGUGGUACAAGCAAAUAAUCAAAACUUUUAACAACGGAUCUCUUGGUUCUGGCAUCGAUGAAGAACGCAGCGAAAUGCGAUAAGUAAUGUGAAUUGCAGAAUUCAGUGAAUCAUCGAAUCUUUGAACGCACAUUGCGCCCGCCAGCAUUCUGGCGGGCAUGCCUGUUCGAGCGUCAUUUCAACCCUCAAGCUCUGCUUGGUGUUGGGGCCCUACAGCUGAUGUAGGCCCUCAAAGGUAGUGGCGGACCCUCCCGGAGCCUCCUUUGCGUAGUAACUUUACGUCUCGCACUGGGAUCCGGAGGGACUCUUGCCGUAAAACCCCCAAUUUUCCAAAGGUUGA